GUCCACGCCUAACGAUGCGAACUGGACGUUGGUGCAAUUGAGCAUUCAGUGUCGAAGCUAACGCGUUAAGUUCGCCGCCUGGGAGUACGGUCGCAAGACUGAACUCAAAGGAAUUGACGGGGCCCGCACAAGCGGUGGAGUAUGUGGUUUAAUUCGAUGCAACGCGAAGAACCUUACCUGGCCUUGACAUGUCGAGAAGUCUGCAGAGAUGCGGAUGUGCCUUCGGGAACUCGAACACAGGUGCUGCAUGGCUGUCGU
rnacentral:rRNA from 1 species